UGGGGAAUAUUGCACAAUGGGCGCAAGCCUGAUGCAGCAACGCCGCGUGAGGGAUGACGGCCUUCGGGUUGUAAACCUCUUUUAGCAGGGAAGAAGCGAAAGUGACGGUACCUGCAGAAAAAGCACCGGCUAACUACGUGCCAGCAGCCGCGGUAAUACGUAGGGUGCAAGCGUUGUCCGGAAUUAUUGGGCGUAAAGAGCUCGUAGGCGGUCUGUCGCGUCUGCUGUGAAAUCCCGAGGCUCAACCUCGGGCCUGCAGUGGGUACGGGCAGACUAGAGUGCGGUAGGGGAGAAUGGAACUCCUGGUGUAGCGGUGGAAUGCGCAGAUAUCAGGAAGAACACCGAUGGCGAAGGCAGUUCUCUGGGCCGUAACUGACGCUGAGGAGCGAAAGCGUGGGGAGCGAACAGGAUUAGAUACCCUGGUAGUCCACGCCGUAAACGUUGGGCGCUAGAUGUGGGGACCAUUCCACGGUUUCCGUGUCGCAGCUAACGCAUUAAGCGCCCCGCCUGGGGAGUACGGCCGCAAGGCUAAAAC
rnacentral:rRNA from 1 species